rnacentral:rRNA from 1 species
AUGAAAGUGAUAAAACAAGAGACUCUCUAUCAUGAAGAUUAUAGUGCUACUUUGAAGCACAAGUGUGGUAAAAGGAUAGUAACAUUGUCCCUUCUCUCUUUUUCUCUCAUUUUUUUGGGCCUUCUCUCUUUUUUUAUGGCCUUUCUCUUUUUUUUAUUCCUCACUUGGGACAAUGCUCUAGAAAAUGAUGAUCAUCACACUUCUAUUUAUUUACAACUCAAUGAUUACAACUCGAUACUAGAACAAAGUAUGACUCUAUAUGAAUGCCUCCGGCGGAGUACCGGGAUAUGCAAUGAACCAAGAGUGACAUGUAUGAAAGAAUUAUGA